CCCGCCCGCCCAGCUCUACAGCGCGGAGGGACGCCGUGAGCCGCCGCCGCCGUCGCCGUCGCCUCUGGUCGCGGAGGGACGUGGUGAGCUGUGGCGCUUCCGCGUCAGCGCCGGCGGGGACUCUUUGGGAGCGCGUCGGGCCCGAACCCCGGUUCCCUUCGCGUGGUCCGCCGAGGCUGCGCCAGGUGGGGCCCGAAGCCGCCUCCCACGCCAGGCUGUCCCCGAGGCUGCCCGGCCUGCCUGCCUUCCUUCCGCCUGCCCGCCGGCCCGCCCUAGGAGUUAACCAAGCCGCAAUGAAGAGCUUCUUACAGUGAAAGGAAAGUAGGUCUCGCCCACUGAAAAUGCCUUUAAGGGACAAAUACUGUCAGACUGACCACCAUCAUCACGGAUGCUGUGAACCAGUUUAUAUCCUGGAACCUGGAGAUGCUCCUUUGUUACAGCAACCACUACAGACAUCCAAAUCUGGUAUUCAGCAAAUAAUUGAGUGCUUUCGAUCAGGAACUAAACAACUUAAGCACAUUUUAUUAAAAGAUGUGGACACUAUUUUUGAAUGUAAAUUAUGCCGCAGUCUCUUCAGAGGAUUACCAAAUUUAAUUACCCAUAAAAAAUUCUACUGUCCACCAAGUCUCCAGAUGGAUGACAACCUUCCUGAUGUAAAUGAUAAACAAAGCCAAGCCAUAAAUGAUCUCCUAGAAGCCAUAUAUCCAAGUGUGGACAAGCGAGAAUAUAUUAUUAAGCUAGAACCCAUAGAAACUAAUCAAAAUGCAGUGUUUCAGUAUAUUUCAAGGACUGAUAAUCCUACUGAAGUCACAGAGUCAAGCAGUACUCCUGAACAAACUGAAGUUCAAAUACAGGAAACCAGCACUGAACAGUCUAAAACAGUACCAGUUGCAGAUGUGGAGGUGGAAACUGUAGAGCCCCCGCCUGUUGAGAUUGUUGCAGAUGAAGUUGCACCUACAUCUGAUGAGCAACCUCAGGAAUCACAGGCUGACUUGGAAACUUCAGACAAUUCUGAUCUUGGUCACCAGUUGAUAUGCUGUCUUUGUAGAAAAGAAUUCAAUUCCAGACGAGGUGUUCGUCGUCACAUUCGAAAAGUACACAAGAAAAAGAUGGAAGAACUAAAAAAGUACAUUGAAACACGAAAGAAUCCAAAUCAGUCCUCUAAAGGACGCAGUAAGAAUGUUCUAGUUCCAAUAAGUAGGAGUUGUCCAGUAUGUUGUAAAUCAUUUGCUACAAAAGCUAAUGUAAGGAGGCAUUUUGAUGAAGUUCAUAGAGGACUAAGGAGGGAUUCAAUUACUCCUGAUAUAGCAACAAAGCCUGGGCAACCUUUGUUCCUGGAUUCUGUUUCUCCUAAAAAAUCUUUUAAGACUCGAAAACAAAAGUCGUCUUCAAAGGCUGAAUACAAUUUAACUGCAUGCAAAUGCCUCCUUUGCAAGAGGAAAUAUAGUUCACAAAUAAUGCUUAAAAGACAUAUGCAAAUUGUCCACAAGAUAACUCUUUCUGGAACAAACUCUAAAAGAGAGAAAGGCCCUAAUAAUACUGCCAGCAGUUCAGAAAUAAAAGUUAAAGUUGAACCAGCAGAUUCUGUAGAAUCUUCACCCCCUUCCAUCACCCAUUCUCCACAGAAUGAAUUAAAGGGAACAAAUCAUUCAAAUGAAAAAAAGAACACACCGGCAGCACAGAAAAAUAAAGUUAAACAAGACUCUGAAAGCCCUAAAUCAACUAGUCCGUCUGCUGCAGGUGGCCAGCAAAAAACCAGGAAACCAAAACUUUCAGCUGGCUUUGACUUUAAGCAACUUUACUGUAAACUUUGUAAACGUCAGUUUACUUCCAAACAGAACUUGACUAAACACAUUGAGUUGCACACAGAUGGGAAUAACAUUUAUGUUAAAUUCUACAAGUGUCCUCUUUGCACUUAUGAAACUCGUCGGAAGCGUGAUGUGAUACGACAUAUAACUGUGGUUCAUAAAAAGUCAUCCCGCUACCUUGGGAAAAUAACUGCCAGUUUAGAGAUCAGAGCUAUAAAGAAGCCCAUUGAUUUUGUUCUAAAUAAAGUGGCAAAAAGAGGCCCUUCGAGGGAUGAGGCAAAACAUAGUGAUUCAAAACAUGAUGGCACUUCUAACUCUCCUAGUAAAAAGUAUGAAGUAGCUGACGUUGGUAUUGAAGUAAAAGUCACAAAAAACUUUUCUCUUCACAGAUGCAAUAAAUGUGGAAAGGCAUUUGCCAAAAAGACUUAUCUUGAACAUCAUAAGAAAACUCAUAAGGCAAAUGCUUCCAAUUCACCUGAAGGAAACAAAACCAAAGGCCGAAGUACAAGAUCUAAGGCUCUUGUCUGGUGAGGAACUGUUACAGAGUUUUGCUUUUUUCCCCCAUCGAACUAAAAAAAAUCAUUUGACCAUAAUUUAUAGCUGGUUCCAUUUUAACACGUUUGCUUCCAUAUAUCUUAUGGCAAUGGGAACUGCAAGAGUAAUGUGCAUAUUGCAUUUACCUCUUCAGUGACCUUUAUUCCAGUGGCUUGGGAACAAAAGUUAACUUCAGAACUUAUCUUCCACAGGACAAUGCAAUAUAGUGAUAACUUCAAGUGAUGUACGAAAAGGUUUGGAGUUCAUUUUUGUGGAAAGACUUUAAAUUGGUGUUAGAACCACUAAACGUCUUCAAAUGGUACUAUGAGAAAAAAAGGAAAAACAAAUUCAUAAAUAUUCAACUGUAACUGCUGUUUUCUGACUAAAAUAAUAACCAUCUAACCACUCGUUUCUAAGGCACUGCCUCUCCCAGCACUUCCAAGUAGCUGUGACGUUACAUAUUGUCAUCACAGUCCAUCAGCUAACCACCCUUGACCUUGUGAAUUUGGUCUACAGUUUCUACAAAAACAUUUCAAAGUUUGUUUUCCAAACAAUUUGUUGAUUAAAGUGAUCAACAACUUGAAGAAUAUAUAUCACCACUGGUGAUUUUUAAUUGACAAAGGACUAUAUCUUAGUGAUUUUAGUUUUGUUUCACUUUAUGUGGCAAAAUUUUAUCUGGAUUGUACAGAUAUAUUUCCUAGUGAGUAUAUGUUAGGACCAAAAGAGAAAUUAGUAUCAACAAAUUAUAAAUAUUUAGUCUACUACAUAUUUGUAAUAAUUCUACGUUCAUUUAUUUCUAACUUGUUCUCUAGCACUUAAAUGUUUGAACGUUUCAUUCUAAAAUAUAUAAUACAGGAAAGUUCCAGUUCAUUUUCAUCCAUGGGUCAUACAUUUUUUAUUUGUAAACAUCUGAGGUUUUUAUGAAAAUUAAACAUUCCCCCCUUUUCUUUACAUUUUAUACAAAGCACUUUAAUAAUAGAUGCAACUUAAUUUUUCAGUUUCUUCUUUUUUUUUAAAGACCACACAUUUACUAAUGUUAAUAUGAAGGUAGUAAAUAGCUUACUGAUAUUUUAUGGAUGCAGACAAUCCAUGCACAACCACUUCUUAUGAUAUUAGUUUAUUUCUUUAAAUAUUGCUAAAAAAGGAUGAUGGGAGCAUAAACCCUGAAUUUUCUCCCAAGUAAAAUCUUAAAUGACUACUUUAGAUGCUAUUUGAUUCUUACUGUAAAAUUUGGAAAAUAAUGAAUUCUUGUCCAUUUUUGUAAUCAAGAUUUUAGGAAAAACAAGUACAUCUAUCUUUAUGAAAUAUUGGGCAGGUUUUUGUGUAUCAAUAUUUUGUAAUUUUUAGGAAAUAUUUUAUUUUUUAGUAAUUUUUGUCAGAUUAUAAUUUUAAAAGGUACAGCAGAGAAUAUACCAUGUUUUUAUAUAGGUUCACACCUGUACUUAGGAGGGACCCUGUCCAUCUAUAUACUUUUUGUAUAAAAUUUUAAAAUGUUGAAGAUCCACAAGGUCAUAAUAAAAUGCUUCUAUAGCUAGAAAAACAUUUACCCUUCCCAGUGCUUUGCACUAAAAUAUACUGUGAAAGGAAACUAGAAAGACUGUAACUGUUGCUGGAAAUGUUCUAUAUUGAAUGUACAUGCUCUUGUUGGAAAAAUGUACUAUAUGUGAUGGAAAUAAACCAGACUCAAAGUUAUUUCAGCUAAAUGUGCUUCAACAAAGGUGCAUUGGUUGAACCUUAAAUGUUUUAUCAAAUUUAAGUUUAUUCAGUUACUAUGAGCAGCUACACUUGAAUUAUACCCUGAUAGUUUUAUUUUUAAGAAUUAGAGUGAUAAUUUCUCUUUAAUUUAAAAACAGAUUGACUUUUCCACUUAUGGAAAACUUGUACUUAUAGAUCUAACUUUAAUGAUUAAUAGCAUAAUAUAUUUAGGGAACUAAAUGUGUAGGUGGUAUUUCAUUUAUAAACCAUCUUCAUUAGUUGCACAUUAUUAAAUCUGUAUGUUUGACUUUUGCAA